AGGGCAUGUUACAUAGGACGACGGCACACAGUCUGAUUAUUAAACCGAUAAAGGCGUUCCACAUAAUUUAUACGACAAGAUCUUCAGAGAGCAACCGACUACAAUAGGAGCAAUAACCACAAAAAUCUGCACACGUGUCGUAUACGGAAUGCCAAAAAUGCGUCAAGUGAAAGACGGCAGAGCAGCAGAAAAAGCAGUAGCUGAACAACAACAAAUGAAUUGCGUUAAAAUUUCAUUAAGAAGAAAAGCCUUUACUAAGAAUGACAACAACGUGAAGAGCUAGAGAAAAAGAGAACAGAGAGAAACGCAAAGCGAAAGCGACAAUAACAAAAGCGUUGCCUACUUGCAGGGGCUGCUGCCAGGCAAAAAUCAAGCGACUGACAUUUUUAUGAAAUUAAUACAAAAGAAGAGCGCACAGAUAGCGAGG